UUACUAAUCGCGAUCCGAAUAUUUUCAUAAAACCCCCUGUAUCAGAUUAUCAUUUUCCAUAAUACUCCCUCCGCAGCCGCGCGCCUUCUUCCCCGUGGCUUCCCGUUCAGCUCCGGCGAGGCGGCGUCGGCCUCCUCGUGGCUCCUUCUACCCAAUCGAUUCGCUAAUUCGGAGCGGCUGGGCGGGUGGGACGACGUAGGCGGCCGCUUGCUGAGGCUAUUUUAAACAUCGGCGCUCGCGGCGGCUGCUCUCUCGGCUCUCGCAAUGUCGAGUGCCUACUGCCGCUGAAUCCAGUCCGACAAAUGACGCUGCGAGCGGGGAGGAGGGGGCACGGAUUAACGGCGCGGAGAAGUCGCUUUUCCGGUCUGAGAUCCAUCGCCUCUUGCCUGACACCGCGGCAUGCCGUCAAGAGCCAAUCGAGAUAAUUUGGCUCCUACCAUCAGUUGCUUCAUUCAGGCGUGACCAUUAGGAUGCAACAUGAGGCCACGAGGGAAUGUACAUGCAGUCAAGUGUAUGCUUGCGUCCAGACCUGAAUUGGACAAGGUUAAACUUGGACCUCAAAUGAAGUUGGGUUAGGUGAGCAGGCUGUCAUGUGGUUGCACCAAUGCAGAGCGACUAGUGACUUGACAAAAGUAAGGAAAGGUGUCGGAAUCGGGAGAAGUAAAUUUGAAGAAAGUCAGUCGGCGUGGCGGGCUAGCCGCCCUUGUCUUAGUUUACUUGAAGCGAGAAGGAAAUUAGAUUGAUGUGAGAGCAAUUCCAAGAUCCUCGGUCGCUAUAACUGCGGAUGCUUUGGUAGACAUGGACGUUCUUUGGUCUUCGUCAGCUUUGGUUUUCAUGUAAGUUUGUCCUGUGAUAGCCAGUAAAUAAAUUUUCAUGCUAGUAGCUAUGUUCCACGGUCUUUGUUUUCUUGAAUGCUGUGGAUGCCUGAAUCACAUGAUGACAAAGCUCUUCAUUUUCCUAGUGAUUUUGACUGCCAAAAGCGCAGUCUCAAGACUAAGAAAAAAAACCCUUUUGUGCAA